AGAGGGACUUGCUUUCUCUCUGCAAUGACCCAUUCACUGUUGCCCAGCAGCUGACCCACAUAGAGCUGGAACGACUGAGUUACAUUGGACCUGAAGAAUUUGUGCAAGCUUUCGUGCAGAAAGACCCUCUGAACAACAGUAAGAGCUGCUUCAGUGGCCAUAAGAAGGCGAACA